UCUUACUCCAGUGCUUCGUCUUGCGGAUCCAUUAUUCUUGGGCAAUACCAACUCCGCCCUUAGGGGGUGCUGUUGCAACGUUACUCGUUCUCAAAAGGACGGCUGAGGUCCCGCUCUGUGGUGUGAAAGCCAUAGAGUGGGCCCUGAGCUUCUUUGUGUUGGGUGGGCGCUGUGGCAAUGGCCCCCAUGGUCAUUGGAGUAAGCUGGACCCUGGAAUACAUGGAUCCCCAAUAUACCGUUUCUGCACAGCAGUACCGACUCAGACUGUUUCUGCAGUUCUUAAGCAAACAAUGAUAAUUACAAAAAAAUGUUCUUCAGAUCCACUGUGGAUGCGCUUUAUCCAGAGAUUUUGCUUUUGUUGAAGGCAGAAGAGGCUGAGGAUGACUUUGUUCUUUGAGAUUGGACUUGAUUGUGAAAGAAAUCAAACGUGUACACGCUGCUCCUUUUCUUCAUGAGGCUGCACCUUCUUCCCCUGAUGGUGGCAUCUCUGCUGUGACCCCGUGGAUGAGCUUCACAUGUCCACGUCCAGCUGUUCUCCCUCCACCUCCGUCUGCUGGCAAUGCUGAGGUUAUGCGACAGUAGAUGCAGCUUUUUGGGUCACUGACAGCAGUCAGAAAAGGAAGCUGAUCUCCUUUCAGCUGCUGCCUGAGUCCGGGCGAGCCAAGACCCACUCCGAUCAUCAAUGGAAUUAUGUAGACUGUAUUGGACUGUAAUAAUCAUAAUUAUGAAAACUCAUUCUAACUUUUUUUCUUUUAUUUUUUGCUUUUGUCUAGCAUUUGAGACUAGUGCUUUAUAAACUAAACUAGAAUUUAAUUAAAUAUAUGAGGAUGAUUAUCAGUAAUUGUGUGGAGCUAGAAAUUAGGAAGGCUUUCUAACCCAAACUAAAAUGCUUAAAAAUGCUAUUUUCAAAGUUCCUUCAUUUCGAAGCACCAAAAUAAUUUAUGAAAAAACAUUUUUGUCAAAUUGUGUUGAUAUCAUGUGUAACAUAUGAAACGCAUUUGUAGAAAUGUGUUUUUAUGUUUUUGAUUAAACAAAAUAACUUUGUA